rnacentral:rRNA from 1 species
GCGGAACACGUGUGCAACCUGCCUUUAUCUGAGGGAUAGCCUUUCGAAAGGAAGAUUAAUACCUCAUAAUAUACUGAUUGGCAUCAAUUGGUAUUGAAAGCUCCGGCGGAUAGAGAUGGGCACGCGCAAGAUUAGAUAGUUGGUGAGGUAACGGCUCACCAAGUCAAUGAUCUUUAGGGGGCCUGAGAGGGUGAUCCCCCACACUGGUACUGAGACACGGACCAUACUCCUACGGGAGGCAGCAGUGAGGAAUAUUGGACAAUGGGUGCAAGCCUGAUCCAGACAUCCUGCGUGAAGGACGACGGCCCUAUGGGUUGUAAACUUCUUUGGUACAGGGAUAAACCUACCCUCGUGAGGGUAGCUGAAGGUACUGUACGAAUAACCACCGGCUAACUUCCGUGCCAGCAGCCGCGGUAAUACUGAGGGUGCGAGCGUUAUCCGGAUUUAUUGGGUUUAAGGGCCCUAAGCGGGCUAGUAAGUCAGUGGUGAAAGCCUACAGCUUAACUGUAGAACUGCCGUUGAUACUGCUAGUCUUGAGUAUAGUUGAGGUAGCUGGAAUGAGUAGUGUAGCGGUGAAAUGCAUAGAUAUUACUCAGAACACCGAUUGCGAAGGCAGGUUACCAAGUUAUAACUGACGCUGAGGGACGAAAGCGUGGGGAGCGAACAGGAUUAGAUACCCUGGUAGUCCACGCCGUAAACGAUGCUAACUCGUUUUUGGGCUUUAGGGUUCAGAGACUAAGCGAAAGUGAUAAGUUAGCCACCUGGGAAGUCCGCCCGCAAGGGUUGAAACUCAAAGGAAUUGCCGGGGGCCCGCACAAGCGGUGGAUCAUGUGGUUUAAUUGGAUGAUACGCGAGGACCCUUACCAAGGCUUAAAUGGGAAUUGCCAGCUGUAAAAAUCCGGUUUUCUUCGGACAAUUUUCAAGGUGCUGCAUGGUUGUCGUCAGCUCGUGCCGUGAGGUGUUAGGUUAAGUCCUGCAACGAGCGCAACCCCUGUCACUAGUUGCCAUCAUUAAGUUGGGGACUCUAGUGAGACUGCCUACGCAAGUAGCGAGGAAGGUGGGGAUGACGUCAAAUCAUCACGGCCCUUACGCCUUGGGCCACACACGUGAUACAAUGGCCGGUACAGAGGGCAGCUACACUGCGAAGUGAUGCAAAUCUCGAAAGCCGGUCUCAGUUCGGAUUGGAGUCUGCAACUCGACUCUAUGAAGCUGGAAUCGCUAGUAAUCGCGCAUCAGCCAUGGCGCGGUGAAUAC